rnacentral:misc_RNA from 1 species
AAGUCGUAACAAUGUUUCCGUAGGUGAACCUGCGGAAAGAUCAUUAACACGUAUCCAAACGUUAAAACCUCCCCCGUGAACCUUCAUCCUGCUCUUGUAACCCGCGUAGUUCGCACUCUCUGAUAAAUCAUC